GCCGGCCGAGGACCCCUCCCGGGACCGAGCUGCCUACAGCAUACGCCUGAUCAUACGACCUAAAUUGGGGUCACUCUCGCCCACUAUCCCCCCAAUAUUUGCCACAUAUAGCCUUUUGAAGACGUUCUACCAACGUGUGCAGAACUCCAGGGGCUCUGAACUCUUCAAGUCUAAAGUAGUUUUGAUCAGGCGUAUGCCGGGCAGCCCCGAAUCUCGGCUCCUUUGGUCCCCUUAUGCAUAUGCAGCAGAUUGUGAUCUUUAACACGCUGAGAGAGAAGGGGGCGUACCCUCGUCUCCGUAGGUGAGCGUUUGUUCACUGCGACCCUCGUGGAUGACCCGAGUACUCUGGGAAAAACCUUCUCGUGGCUCAAAGUCCGCCUCCUCCCCGGUCCCUUCACCAAGGCCAAAAGGUGGCCCUACCCAGGGGAGGAAGAGGGAGUGGCAGGAGAGUCAGGACAGAGCCCCAAGAGAGGCAAGUGGGCAGAGGCUGCUGGAAAUUGGGAUGCUGAGACUUGCCAGGGGAAAAUAAGCCAUCUCUUAAUUUUGAACUCAUUUCUAAAUAAUCCCAGCUACCAGGGAAGACAUUCUUGUGCUUCCUGGGAGUGAGUGGGGGGAAGCACUGAGAGGAACUGGCAAGCCAAGGCUCCUGCCUGGCCUUGCUCCAUGCACUUGCAGGGGUGGUACGCGGGGAGGCUGGAGGCCUGAGGCUUGCGUGGGUCCCCAGGCUCACUCCCAGCCAAGCCUGCCGGUAAGUGUAGCCCAGGCUUGCUGGCUUGGGAGGCACAUGGAACAUUCUCUCUCCCUGACCCUCUUCAUCUGGGGUCAUCCCUUAGGUCUCAGUACAAGUGUCACUUCUCCAGGGAAGUCGCUCCUUCCCCCUCCCCCCAUAAUUAGGUCACCUCCCCAGUUGUGAGCACCUACUUGGCCAUCUCUUUCGUGCUCACAUAUGUGAUCUGCUUUUACCCUGAAAGGCAGGCCUGCAAUCUCCUUUUAUUUUAUUUUUUUAAAUUUUUUUCUUGCUUUUUGGGGCUGCACCCGUGGCAUAUGGAGGGUCCCAGGCUAAGGGUCGAAUCAGAGCUACAGCUGCCAGCCUAUGCCAGAGCUCCAGCAACACCAGAUCUGAGCCGCAAUCCUUAACUCACUGAGCAAGGCCAGGGAUUGAACCCGCAACCUCAUGGUUCCUAGUUGGAUUCAUUUCUGCUGUACCACAAUGGAAACUCUGCAAUCUCCUUUUAGAGUUGAAGGCACUUAGGUUGAGAGGGUUUAAGCAGCUUGCCCAAGGUCACACAGCUAGCAUACAGCCUUGAACAUCUGCGGCUACAGCACAUCCAGGAAAUAUUGCCCCCAAUCCUUUUUCUUUUUUUCUUUUUCUUUUGAGGGUCACGCCCAAAGCAUAUGAGGUUCCCAGGCUAGGGGUCAAAUUGGAGUUGCAGCCACGGGCCUACACCACAGCCACAGCAAUGCAGGAUGUGAGUCACGUCUGUGACCUACACCACAGCUCAUGGCAAGGCCAGAUCCUUAACCCACGGAGCGAGGCCAGGGAUUGAACCUGCAUCCUCAUGGAUACUAGUCGGGUUUGUUUCCAUAGAGCCACCGUGGGAACUCCCCCCAAUCCUUUUUUCAUAGCGGAACACCACUGAAGAAUGGGGAGCUGUGGAUACCCAAAAGGAUCAGAUGAACCAUCCAAGGACCAAAUAAAUAUCCAUACUGGGCCCA
ensembl:lncRNA